rnacentral:rRNA from 1 species
GAUUUUUCCCUCGGGAAAGAUUGAUGGCGACCGGCGCACGGGUGAGUAACGCGUAUCCAACCUGCCCGUCACCACGGGAUAGCCUGCCGAAAGGCAGAUUAAUACCGUAUGUGGUCCGAAGACGGCAUCAGAUUCGGACUAAAGGUUCAGCGGUGACGGAUGGGGAUGCGUCCGAUUAGGUAGUAGGCGGGGUAACGGCCCACCUAGCCAUCGAUCGGUAGGGGUUCUGAGAGGAAGGUCCCCCACACUGGAACUGAGACACGGUCCAGACUCCUACGGGAGGCAGCAGUGAGGAAUAUUGGUCAAUGGAGGCAACUCUGAACCAGCCAAGUAGCGCGCAGGAUGACGGCCCUAUGGGUUGUAAACUGCUUUUAUGCGGGGAUAAACUGAGCCACGUGUGGCUUAUUGCAGGUACCGCAUGAAUAAGGACCGGCUAAUUCCGUGCCAGCAGCCGCGGUAAUACGGAAGGUCCGGGCGUUAUCCGGAUUUAUUGGGUUUAAAGGGAGCGCAGGCCGCCCCUUAAGCGUGUUGUGAAAUGCCGCGGCUCAACCGUGGCACUGCAGCGCGAACUGGGGGGCUUGAGUGCGCCGGAGGUAGGCGGAAUUCGUGGUGUAGCGGUGAAAUGCUUAGAUAUCACGAAGAACUCCGAUUGCGAAGGCAGCCUACCGUAGCGUUACUGACGCUGAGGCUCGAAGGUGCGGGUAUCGAACAGGAUUAGAUACCCUGGUAGUCCGCACGGUAAACGAUGGAUGCCCGCCGUUGGGUAUUUUUAU